UUUCCCUACGGGAGGCAGCAGUCGGGAAUAUUGCGCAAUGGAGGAAACUCUGACGCAGUGACGCCGCGUAUAGGAAGAAGUAUUUCGGUAUGUAAAGCUCUAUCAGCAGGGAAGAAAAAAGACGGUACCUGACUAAGAAGCCCCGGCUAACUACGUGCCAGCAGCCGCGGUAAUACGUAGGGGGCAAGCGUUAUCCGGAUUUACUGGGUGUAAAGGGAGCGUAGACGGCAAUACAAGUCGGAAGUGAAAUACCCGGGCUCAACCUGGGAACUGCUUUGGAAACUGUAUGGCUGGAGUGCUGGAGG
rnacentral:rRNA from 1 species